AGAAGAAUGCAACUGCUCAAAAAAAAAAUUGAUCAUCUGACAGAGAAGAUUAGCAUGGUCCCUGUGCAAGGAUGACAUGCAAAUUUGUGAAGCAUUUACAUCAUUU
rfam:Mesocricetus auratus contig057861, whole genome shotgun sequence.